rnacentral:lncRNA from 1 species
AAGUGCGAAGGAAGUUCCCUCCCAGUGCCCACCCAGGCGGGGAGGGGCAAGGCUGGGGCACGGAAAGAACCGGGGAAACGACGUAUUCCAGCUCCCAGCACACACAAAACUGCUUGCGCGAUUCGGCGCGUGGGGAGAAGCGGGGGGGAGGAAUUAGACGCCAGAUCCAGGACGCAGAGACUCCCGGUGCGCUGGGGAGAGACCUGGAGAUUGCAUGCUCGGGAAGCCACCUUCCUUUCCCCUGGUCUGUCUCCCCUUGUGCAGUGGCUGCCUGGGGACGCCCCGCUCGGAGGGUUUCUCCCAGACGAGACGUCCCGUCCCUGCCCACGGUCGGGGCCCGCGAGUGGCCGCCUCUGCCCCGCCCCUGCGGUUUCCGAAGGUCUAAGGGGGAUUUUUUUUCCCCCCUUCCCGCCCCCGUCCCUGCCUCCGCCAGGAGCGGCGCUAGGUCGUGCCGGCUGCGGUCGCUUUUCCUUCUCCACUCCCACGUCUCUGACUCCAGGGAGUUUCACCCGUCCUCCCUCCUCAGCCCUCACCUUUAAACAGUUCCCCAAGCCACCGCUCCAAAAGUGCGCGACUGCUCCCGGGCCUGCACACGGAGCUCCUGCCGCCCGGCAUUCCUCGGAUUCCAGCGCUGUGACGUCCCCGAGGCCGGCUCGCCUCCAGCCCGGGAGCUCGGGCUCCAAGUUUCGGCGCUCCCCCGCGCGGACGCCCCCCCCCCCCGCCGCCCCGCCGCCCCGCCGCCCCGCCGCGCGCGCCUCCCGGGCGCAUUCCUCCCCGCCCCCGGCCGCGCGCCCCGCGCUCCCUCCGCCUCCGGCCCCCUGCGCCGCCGCCCGGCCCGGGGGUGGGGGAGCCACGGCCGCCGGCGCCUGCUCCGUCCCCUCCCAUCGCACGGCCCCUUCCUCCCUCCUCUCCCGGCCGCUCGCAUUUCCUGCCGCCCGGGCUCUCGCGGCCCCGGAAAGUUCUGCCCAACUUUUUCUCCCCCCGCCCCGAGCGAGCGGGCGCAGCCGGCGCAGUCCGGGGGCAGGUUGCAGCGCUCCUCCUCGCUCCGCUGCCCGGCCUCCCGGCUCCGGUCCUCGGGGAGCCGCAGACACCCGGUGGUCGCGGUCUGUCCCUCCCCUCCCACCUCACCCAUCCUCCGCGGCCUCCUGGCCCCGGCCCCCCUCCGGCGGGACAACCCCGUGCCUAGGUGGCUCUCCUUUUCUCCUUGUCGGUGCGCCGGGAUCGCGGCGGAAACCUCCCUCCCCUUUCGCCUCCUCCGGCUCCUUCCCUCCGCCCCUCCUCCGCCAGCCACUGGAAUCAAUUCCUUAG